GUCAGAGUUGAGUAGUGGAUAAAGAACUGGCCUCAGAAGCAAGAAAACCCAGGUUAAAAUCCUGCCUCUGACA
rnacentral:tRNA from 1 species